UGGGGAAUAUUGCAGCAAUGGGGGGAUCCCUGACAGCAGCCACGCCGCNUGAAUGAAGAAGGCCUUCGGGUGGUAAAGUUCUUUCGGUAUUGAGGAAGGUUGAUCUGUUAAUAGCACAUCAAAUCGACGUUAAAUUCAGAAGAAGCGCCGGCUAACUCCGUGCCAGCAGCCGCGGUAAUUCGGAGGGUGCGAGCGUUAAUAGGAAUAACUGGGCGUAAAGGGCACGCAGGCGGUUAUUUAAGUGAGGUGUGAAAGCCCCGGGCUUAACCUGGGAAUUGCAUCUCAGACUGGGUAACUAGAGUACUUUAGGGAGGGGUAGAAUUCCACGUGUAGCGGUGAAAUGCGUAGAGAUGCGGAGGAAUGCCGAAGGCGAAGGCAGCCCCUUGGGAAUGUACUGACGCUCAUGUGAGACAGCGUGGGGAGCAAACAGGAUUAGAUACCCUGGUACUCCACGCUGUAAACGCUGUCGAUUUGGGGGUUGGGGUUUAAUUUUGGCGCCCGUAGCUAACGUGAUAAAUCGACCGCCUGGGGAGUACGGCCGCAAGGUUA
rnacentral:rRNA from 1 species